rnacentral:rRNA from 1 species
CGAAGCACUUUAACCUGAUUCUUCGGAUGAAGGUUUUUGUGACUGAGUGGCGGACGGGUGAGUAACGCGUGGGUAACCUGCCUCAUACAGGGGGAUAACAGUUAGAAAUGACUGCUAAUACCGCAUAAGACCACGGAGCCGCAUGGCUCAGUGGGAAAAACUCCGGUGGUAUGAGAUGGACCCGCGUCUGAUUAGGUAGUUGGUGGGGUAACGGCCUACCAAGCCAACGAUCAGUAGCCGACCUGAGAGGGUGACCGGCCACAUUGGGACUGAGACACGGCCCAAACUCCUACGGGAGGCAGCAGUGGGGAAUAUUGCACAAUGGGGGAAACCCUGAUGCAGCGACGCCGCGUGAGCGAAGAAGUAUUUCGGUAUGUAAAGCUCUAUCAGCAGGGAAGAAAAUGACGGUACCUGACUAAGAAGCACCGGCUAAAUACGUGCCAGCAGCCGCGGUAAUACGUAUGGUGCAAGCGUUAUCCGGAUUUACUGGGUGUAAAGGGAGCGUAGACGGCUGUGUAAGUCUGAAGUGAAAGCCCGGGGCUCAACCCCGGGACUGCUUUGGAAACUAUGCAGCUAGAGUGUCGGAGAGGUAAGUGGAAUUCCCAGUGUAGCGGUGAAAUGCGUAGAUAUUGGGAGGAACACCAGUGGCGAAGGCGGCUUACUGGACGAUGACUGACGUUGAGGCUCGAAAGCGUGGGGAGCAAA